AUUGAACGCUAGCGGGAUGCCUUACACAUGCAAGUCGAACGGAGUGGCGAACGGGUGAGUAAUGUAUCGGAACGUGCCCAGUAGCGGGGGAUAACUACGCGAAAGCGGCGCUAAUACCGCAUACUAUUGGCUCGGCCGAUAUCGGAUUAGCUAGUUGGUGGGGUAACGGCCAACCAAGGCGACGAUCCGUAGCUGGUUUGAGAGGAUGACCAGCCACACUGGGACUGAGACACGGCCCAGACUCCUACGGGAGGCAGCAGUGGGGAAUGUUGGACAAUGGGGGAAACCCUGAUCCAGCCAUCCCGCGUGUGUGAUGAAGGCCUUCGGGUUGUAAAGCACUUUGGGCAGGAAGGCGGUACCUGCAGAAUAAGCACCGGCUAACUACGUGCCAGCAGCCGCGGUAAUUC
rnacentral:rRNA from 1 species